AAAAAAGCAGUGGCCUGUUGUCUAUAUGAGCAGGUCUCUCAUAAACUUCAGGGAAACUGAACACAUUGUUAUUGGGUGAACCUUUGUAAGCUUUGUCAGUGGCAAAAGGUUCAGUAAAUGAAGACACAUUA